rnacentral:rRNA from 1 species
AGUCAUAUGCUUGUCUCAAAGACUAAGCCAUGCAUGUCUAAGUAUAAAUGAUAUACAGUAAAACUGCGAAUGGCUCAUUAAAACAGUUAUAGUUUAUUUGGUAAUCGAAUUUACAUGGAUAACCGUGGUAAUUCUAGAGCUAAUACAUGCUGUUAAGCCCGACUUUUGGGAAGGGCUGUAUUUAUUAGAUAACAGACCAAUAUUCCUCGUGACUAUUGUGGUGACUCAUAGUAACUGAUCGGAUCGCAUGGGCUUGCCCGCGACAAACCAUUCAAGUUUCUGCCCCAUCAGCUUUCGAUGGUAGUGUAUUGGACUACCAUGGCUUUUACGGGUAACGGAGGAUUAGGGUUCGAUUCCGGAGAGGGAGCCUGAGAAACGGCUACCACAUCUAAGGAAGGCAGCAGGCGCGUAAAUUACCCAAUACUGACUCAGUGAGGUAGUGACAAGAAAUAACGGGCCGGGGAUUUCCCCGGGACUGAAAUGAGUUUAAUUUAAACCCCUUUUCGAGGAUCCAU